rnacentral:rRNA from 1 species
GGGUAGUUUGACUGGGGCGGUCUCCUCCUAAAGAGUAACGGAGGAGCACGAAGGUUGGCUAAUCCUGGUCGGACAUCAGGAGGUUAGUGCAAUGGCAUAAGCCAGCUUGACUGCGAGCGUGACGGCGCGAGCAGGUGCGAAAGCAGGUCAUAGUGAUCCGGUGGUUCUGAAUGGAAGGGCCAUCGCUCAACGGAUAAAAGGUACUCCGGGGAUAACAGGCUGAUACCGCCCAAGAGUUCAUAUCGACGGCGGUGUUUGGCACCUCGAUGUCGGCUCAUCACAUCCUGGGGCUGAAGUAGGUCCCAAGGGUAUGGCUGUUCGCCAUUUAAAGUGGUACGCGAGCUGGGUUUAGAACGUCGUGAGACAGUUCGGUCCCUAUCUGCCGUGGGCGCUGGAGAACUGAGGGGGGCUGCUCCUAGUACGAGAGGACCGGAGUGGACGCAUCACUGGUGUUCGGGUUGUCAUGCCAAUGGCACUGCCCGGUAGCUAAAUGCGGAAGAGAUAAGUGCUGAAAGCAUCUAAGCACGAAACUUGCCCCGAGAUGAGUUCUCCCUGACUCCUUGAGAGUCCUGAAGGAACGUUGA